rnacentral:rRNA from 1 species
AGUGAACGCUGGCGGUAGGCCUAACACAUGCAAGUCGAACGGCAGCACAGUAAGAGCUUGCUCUUACGGGUGGCGAGUGGCGGACGGGUGAGGAAUACAUCGGAAUCUACUUUUUCGUGGGGGAUAACGUAGGGAAACUUACGCUAAUACCGCAUACGACCUACGGGUGAAAGCAGGGGAUCUUCGGACCUUGCGCGAUUGAAUGAGCCGAUGUCGGAUUAGCUAGUUGGCGGGGUAAAGGCCCACCAAGGCGACGAUCCGUAGCUGGUCUGAGAGGAUGACCGGCCACCCUGAACCUGAGCACCGUUCCAGCCCCCAACGGGAGGCAGCGGUGGGGAUUUUUGACCAAGGGGCGCAAGCCUGUUCCAGCCUUCCCGCUUGGGUGAAGAAGGCCUUCGGGUUGUAAGGCCCUUUUUUGGGAAAAAAAAGGCAGCAGUUUAUACCCCGCUGUUCUGACGGUACCCAAAGAAUAAGCACCGGCUAACUUCGUG